UUCAACUGCAACCAUAAGUUUUUCGCCCAAUUUUAAUUAUCCGUCUUAUUUAAAAUUUUUUAUAAUUAGUAUUUUUAUUAUUAUGAGAUGAUAAAAUAUGAAUAGUAUUUUACUCGUGAUUUAUAUUUUUAAUUUUUUUUAAAUAAGGCAGACAGUUAAAGUUUGACGUGAAAAACCAUGGCUGCAAUGGGU
rfam:Oryza glumipatula chromosome 4, whole genome shotgun sequence.